GACGAACGCUGGCGGCGUGCCUAAUACAUGCAAGUAGAACGCUGAAGGAGGAGCUUGCUUCUCUGGAUGAGUUGCGAACGGGUGAGUAACGCGUAGGUAACCUGCCUGGUAGCGGGGGAUAACUAUUGGAAACGAUAGCUAAUACCGCAUAAGAGUAGAUGUUGCAUGACAUUUACUUAAAAGGUGCAAUUGCAUCACUACCAGAUGGACCUGCGUUGUAUUAGCUAGUUGGUGAGGUAACGGCUCACCAAGGCAACGAUACAUAGCCGACCUGAGAGGGUGAUCGGCCACACUGGGACUGAGACACGGCCCAGACUCCUACGGGAGGCAGCAGUAGGGAAUCUUCGGCAAUGGACGGAAGUCUGACCGAGCAACGCCGUGUGAGUGAAGAAGGUUGUCGGAUCGUAAAGCUCUGUUGUAAGAGAAGAACGAGUGUGAGAGUGGAAAGUUCACACUGUGACGGUAUCUUACCAGAAAGGGACGGCUAACUACGUG
rnacentral:rRNA from 1 species